rnacentral:rRNA from 1 species
UACGUAGGGAGCAAGCGUUGUCCGGAAUCAUUGGGCGUAAAGCGCGCGUAGGUGGCUUCGUAAGUCCGUUGUGAAAGUCCAGGGCUCAACCCUGGAAAGCGGGUGGAUACUGCCGGGCUAGAAUCCGGAAGAGGCGAGUGGAAUUCCUGGUGUAGCGGUGGAAUGCGCAGAUAUCAGGAGGAACACCAAUAGCGAAGGCAGCUCGCUGGGACGUUACUGACACUGAGGCGCGAAAGCGUGGGGAGCGAACAGG